GCCUCGGUGGCUUAGUGGCUAUAGCGUCUGCUUCGUAAGCAGAAUGUCGCGGGUUCAAAUCCCGCCCGGGGCU
rnacentral:tRNA from 1 species